ACGAACGCUGGCGGCGCGCCUAAUACAUGCAAGUCGAGCGAGAAGACGUAGCAAUACGUUUGUAAAGCGGCGAACGGGUGAGGAAUACAUGGGUAACCUACCCUCGAGUGGGAAUAACUAGCCGAAAGGUUAGCUAAUACCGCGUACGCUCCUUGGACUUCGGUUCAGGGAGGAAAGCGAUACCGUGGGUAUCGCGCUCUUGGAUGGGCUCAUGUCCUAUCAGCUUGUUGGUGAGGAACGGCUCACCAAGGCUUCGACGGGUAGCUGGUCUGAGAGGACGAUCAGCCACACUGGCACUGCGACACGGGCCAGACUCCUACGGGAGGCAGCAGUAAGGAAUAUUGCGCAAUGGGCGAAAGCCUGACGCAGCGACGCCGCGUGGGGGA
rnacentral:rRNA from 1 species